AGUAAAACCUCGCCGAGCCCCGAAUCUAAAAUAACAAGCGAAUGUACCACAAUCGUGCAUUUGGCCCUUAUCACGAGUUAGUGUAUAAGACGAACUCCUUCAAUACGCUUGAAUUUAUUUCUUUAUGUUAUCAUUUACCUAAUUCACCUACUACACUCGCAUUCGAUUUCGAUGUCACAGUGAUAAUUUAAAAUUCGUUGAAAUUGUUGGGGUUGCUAAAAUUAUGAAAUUCACGAAUAG